GAGUUUGAUCCUGGCUCAGGACGAACGCUGGCGGCGCGCCUAACACAUGCAAGUCGAACGGAGCUGAGAGGAGCUUGCUUUUCUUAGCUUAGUGGCGAACGGGUGAGUAACGCGUGAGUAACCUGCCCUGGAGUGGGGGACAACAGUUGGAAACGACUGCUAAUACCGCAUAAGCCCACGGGUCGGCAUCGACCAGAGGGAAAAGGAGCAAUCCGCUUUGAGAUGGCCUCGCGUCCGAUUAGCUAGUUGGUGAGGUAAUGGCCCACCAAGCCGACGAUCAGUAGCCGACCUGAGAGGGUGACCGGCCACAUUGGGACUGAGACACGGCCCAAACUCCUACGGGAGGCAGCAGUGGGGAAUAUUGCACAAUGGGGGAAACCCUGAUGCAGCGACGCCGCGUGAAGGAAGAAGUAUCUCGGUAUGUAAACUUCUAUCAGCAGGGAAGAUAAUGACGGUACCUGACUAAGAAGCCCCGGCUAACUACGUGCCAGCCGCCGCGGUAAUAC
rnacentral:rRNA from 1 species